CGGAGUAACUGUCUGCACAGACCCUUUACCAAAAGAGGUCGUGCCAAUUAUUACUGCACGCUUAUGGUCUUGAAGAGCACCAGCUAAGAUCUCUGCUGCCGAAGCAGAUCCACCAUUGAUUAAUACAAUGAGUGGCUUUCCUUUGGUUAUAUCCCCUCGCUUGGCAUUAUAACGCGAAAUGUUUCCUCGGCUGCGCCCGCGCGUAGAUACUAUUUCCCCCUGUUCAAGAAACAAAUCUGAAACCCUAACCGCCUGUUCCAAUAACCCACCAGGGUUAUUCCUU
rnacentral:ncRNA from 1 species